GGGAAACCGAGUCUGAAGAGGGCGAGGAGUCGGUAUAGGUAGACCCGAAACUGUAGUGAUCUACGCAUGGCCAGAUUGAAACGCAGGUAAAAAUGCGCGGAGGAUCGAACCGGGACAUGUUGAAAAAUGUUCGGAUGAGCUGUGCGUAGGGGUGAAAUUCCAAUCGAACGCAGAGAUAGCUGGUUCUCCUCGAAAUAGCUUUAGGGCUAGCCUCAGGCAGUAAGCAUAGGCGGUAGAGCACUGAUCGGGUACGGGGCCGUAAAGGUUACCAACCCCUGUCAAACUCCGAAUGGUUAUGCUGCAAAGCCUGGGAGUCAGACUACGAGUGAUAAGAUCCGUGGUCAAAAGGGAAACAGCCCAGACCAUCAGCUAAGGUCCCCAAUGCCGUACUAAGUGGAAAAGGAUGUGGGGCUUCAUAAACAACCAGGAUGUUGGCUCAGAAGCAGCCACCAUUUAAAGAGUGCGUAAUAGCUCACUGGUCGAGAGGCCCCGCGCCGAAGAUUCCCGGGGCUAAAGUACGGAACCGAAGCUAUGGAUGCGGUGUAAGCCGCGUGGUAGAGGAGCGUUCUCAUCGGGCAGAAGCAGUGCUGUAAGGCGUUGUGGACGGAUGAGAAGUGAGAAUGUUGGCAUGAGUAGCGAAAAGGACGGUGCGAAUCCGUCCCACCGAAAGCAUAAGGAUUCCUGAGCAACGAUCGUCGUCUCAGGGUAAGUCGGGACCUAAUCCGAGGCAAGAGGCGUAGGAGAUGGACAUCCGGUUGAGAAUCCGGAACCGGCAGAGGUUGUUUGAGCAAUGGAGUGACACAGGCAGGCAGGCGCGCACGGGAUUGGAAGUCCGUGUGCAAGCGUGUGGCGCGGGGGACAGGCAAAUCCGUCCCCCAGGAGCGUGAGGCGUGACGCGGAGCUUUCCGUGAGGAAAGCGAAGGGGCUGAGCCUAUACUGUCGAGAAAAGCUUCUAGUGAGACCGAUGCCGCCCGUACCGUAAACCGACACAGGUAUGUGGGGAGAGGAUCCUAAGGUGCGCGGGAGAACCCUCGUUAAGGAACUCGGCAAAAUGUACCCGUAACUUCGGGAUAAGGGUAGCCGCGUGUUGUGAAGUAUGUGCAUAUGGAGCAGAGCGCGGCCGCAGAGAAGAGGCCCAAGCGACUGUUUACCAAAAACUUAGGUGCCUGCCAAAGCGAAAGCUGACGUAUAGGUGCUGACACCUGCCCAGUGCCGGAAGGUUAAGGAAGGAGGUUCGGAGCGAUCCAACGCCUUCGACCGAAGCCCCGGUGAACGGCGGCCGUAACUAUAACGGUCCUAAGGUAGCGAAAUUCCUUGUCGGGUAAG
rnacentral:rRNA from 1 species